UCUAUCAAUAUGAUAUGUGUUACAGGGAAUAUAUUCAGUGAGGGAAAGCAAUAAUCCCUGACAUUUGUCAUUCUCUGAAUUAAUUUUUUUCUUCCAUUCUACCGCCGAUCAGCUUAUGCCAAAAACAUAGUAUGGGUUUGGUAAUCACUGGUUAAUGAAAACUGUUGGUGUUUCUUUCAUUUCUUAAAUACAAAUUUAAUAAAAUAUAAGAGACAAAAUUAUUUCCAUAAUUAUUGAUAUAAAACGUUAACGCCAGAGAAUUACCGGACGAUAAGGUGAACGUACCCUACCCCACCGGUGGCACCCGUCACAAAUACUUGUAAAGGAAAGUCGAUUGUUCACCUGAAAAAAACACACGGAAAAAUAAAGGACAAGUCGAAAUAGAAAAUUGCAUCGAACAUCAUUUGUGUUACUGAUGCGUCAAAUGUCCAUCACAUAUCUACCGUAAAACGUUUGAAAGCAUCACUGAUGCAUGUGAGUUUGGUUUUACGCCGUUGUUAAAGGCUCGGGACACCAGCAAUGGGCUUCACACAUUCUACCCAUGUCGGAAAUCGAACCCGGGUCUUCGGCGUGACGAGCGAACGCUUUAACCACAAGGCUACCUGACCGCCCCCACUGAUGCCUUGAAUGUAACUUUGAUCAAACAACUUUUAGGCAGAGUUUUAUGACGCUCCUUGUUUGGCGAAAUCUUGGUAGAAAUAGGAGCAUGUUGGAUUGUACCUAAAACAUUGUGAAAUGAAGCCACCAGGCGCUCGAGCUGAGGCAAUAUUGCUCGACAUAAAGGGAAAGUAGGACAACUGCACUCACAAAGAUGAGUCUCGGAAUCACAUUGCCUUGUAAGACAUGCCACACGUGCACCUGAUCUUAUCUCAUCUGUUCCUGAUAAGAUUUAGUGUCAGUGCCAGAGGUAAAGUAUUUUUAUGAAUUCCUUACAAUGCUACAUUCACUUUCAAACAGUCAUGUUUCCUCCUCACGUCUACCAUAAAACAUGGUGACAAUUUUACUUAGGCUUUGAAUGUAAUCGAAUGCACUUGAAUGCAUUGAAUGUACUUAUCACUGAGGAGUCAUUCUGCAUUCGACUGUAGCCUUGUAGCCUAAGGCCAUUCUCAGAGCUGCUGUACUGGCGGUUCUGGUAUUCCUUCCUGAAAGUUCUUAAAAUAUGGAUUGUUAAACGGAUAAUACUCAAGUCCCAUGUGUUGAACGGGCCUUGUACAAAGCAUCGGUAUAUGGAAUAAGUAGUGAAUAAAAAAAGGCAUUUGUUUCAGAAGCAGAAUGGGAAAUUCUUCCUCCAGGACGGACAUAGGAGAAACAAGGAUGAUAAGAGAGAAAUGGAUCACGAGCAGUGAUAGAGUUUCUACGCCACGAAGCCAUGAUUACAACCUUGCCGUGGCCUGCUCGGAGCCCGGAUCUUAAUCCCACAGAGCACCCGUGGGACAUUCUUGGACGGCAAAUUCAACGUAGCAGUUCCUAAGUCAAGACUGUCAGAACUGGAUUCUGCUUUACAGAAAGCUAACAAUUCAACGUCUGAUCUGCACAUGUUUGACGAAUUCCCAGGUACGAGCUAUAAAACCUCAGCGCCUAAAAGCACCGUUUUGUGGCCAUCAUUUUCAACAUCAGCAGACUGAAGAACCUCGAGGUAAUACGGAGAGCUUCCGCCAUCUUCAGGUGCGUGUUGAACGGUGACACUAUAGGCUAUAGGACAGUGGUUCCGAAACAAUCUACCACUGACACACUCAGACAAGACUCGCAUCGCUGUCCAUGGCAGGGAACGUGAGUUAACGAUAACAGAUGUACAGUUUGAGGACACAGGGAACUACGAGUACAGAGUUAACCAAGACUUGACCUCAGCUAAUCUCACACUUAAUGAAGCCACAUGUGUCAACAGCAUGUUGAACCCGCCCCAGCCUGCAAUGCGUCCAGUGUGAGAACAGAGGGGCCUUGAAGAAAAUUACAUUUAACAGAAUUAUUAAAGAGAUUUUUUCAUUUAUUUUGAAAAGGAUUUGUUAAUGCAAAUACUCAUUUUUUCAAUGAAUCAUCCUCUAAGAAAUAUGUGUUAUU